rnacentral:tRNA from 1 species
CCGGCUUUAGCUCAGUUGGUAGAGCGGGAGACUGUAGUGAACAUUGACAUCUCUAGGUCACCUGUUCGAAUCAGGUAAGCCGGA